UACAGGGGGCCCAAGCGUUAGUCGGAAUCACUGGGCUUAAAGGGUGCGUAGGCGGACUUGUAAGUGUCGUGUGAAAGCCCAUCGCUCAACGAUGGAACCGCACGGCAAACUGCAAGUCUCGAGGAAGGUAGAGGCGGGUAGAACGUUUGGUGGAGCGGUGGAAUGCGUAGAUAUCAAACGGAAUGCCAAAGGUGAAGACAGCCCGCUGGGCCUUUCCUGACGCUGAGGCACGAAAGCGUGGGGAGCAAACAGG
rnacentral:rRNA from 1 species